ACGCACGCUGGCGGCGUGCUUCACACAUGCAAGUCGCACGGAAAGGCCCUGCUUUCGUGGGGUGCUCGAGUGGCGAACGGGUGAGUAACACGUGAGUAACCUGCCCUUGACUUUGGGAUAACUUCAGGAAACUGGGGCUAAUACCGGAUAGGAGCUCCUGCUGCAUGGUGGGGGUUGGAAAGUUUCGGCGGUUGGGGAUGGACUCGCGGCUUAUCAGCUUGUUGGUGGGGUAGUGGCUUACCAAGGCUUUGACGGGUAGCCGGCCUGAGAGGGUGACCGGCCACAUUGGGACUGAGAUACGGCCCAGACUCCUACGGGAGGCAGCAGUGGGGAAUAUUGCACAAUGGGCGGAAGCCUGAUGCAGCAACGCCGCGUGCGGGAUGACGGCCUUCGGGUUGUAAACCGCUUUCGCCUGUGACGAAGCGUGAGUGACGGUAAUGGGUAAAGAAGCACCGGCUAACUACGUG
rnacentral:rRNA from 1 species